AGAAAAAAAAUCAAAAACAAAA
rnacentral:sRNA from 1 species